GACGAACGCUGGCGGCGUGCUUAACACAUGCAAGUCGAACGGAAAGGCCCUGCUUUUGUGGGCUGCUCGAGUGGCGAACGGGUGAGUAACACGUGAGUAACCUGCACUUGACUUUGGGAUAACUUCAGGCAACUGGGGCUAGUACCGGCUAGGAUCUCCUGCUGCAUGGUGGGGGUUGGAAAGUUUCGGCGGUUGGGGAUGGACUGGCGGCUUAUCAGCUUGUUGGUGGGGUAGUGGCUUACCAAGGCUUGGACGGGUAGCCGGCCUGAGAGGGUGACCGGCCACACUGGGACUGGGAUGCGGCCCAGCCCACUACGGGACGCAGCGGAGCGGAAUAGUGCACUAGGGGAGGAAGGCUGGUGUAGCAAAGCAGCGUGGGGGAUGACAGGAAUGGGGUUGGAUUCCAAAUCCGCCUGAGACGAGGUGAGAGUGACGGUACUGGGUAAAGAAGCACCGGCUAACUACGUG
rnacentral:rRNA from 1 species